rnacentral:misc_RNA from 1 species
GGUUGAGGCACUUGGCGUUGU